CAUCUUCCUGCGAAGGCAUGAGGAGGAAAAGAGAGGAAGUAACUGAGCGAUAAUAUGCUGUAUGAGCCUCCUGCUCUGCUGCCCAUUACCUGCGUCACCUCCACAAGCUACUGAACCUCAAGGAACCCAUCUCCUCAUCAGGAAAAAAAAUAAGCUUUAUGUAGCAGGGUCUGAACUCUGUAGGUCUUCACCACGGCUCAGGAGGAUGAGGAGCAGUGACAGGCCAAACUACGAGAAAAGACAGAGGGAAUCAAACUCAACACUGUGUCUAAACCUCCUCCACCACUGUUGAAGGGAUCCUGGCAUCAGAUGGGGAACAGCUCUAAAUCAAAAUAACCUCACUACUGUGCUUUUCUGUAAAACCAGGUAAAGAUCAGACAAGCAUGAGUUGAAAGGCUAUGUCUCUCUCCAGGCUUUAUUCUGCCAUAGCAGUGACCAGGCGCAGCCAACAGAAACGGAAAGUCAUGGUGUCCAACACGCCUCUCUGUUCCCC
rnacentral:lncRNA from 1 species